rnacentral:rRNA from 1 species
UCGAGAAUCAUUCACAAUGGGGGAAACCCUGAUGGUGCGACGCCGCGUGGGGGAAUGAAGGUCUUCGGAUUGUAAACCCCUGUCAUGUGGGAGCAAAUUAAAAAGAUAGUACCACAAGAGGAAGAGACGGCUCACUCUGUGCCAGCAGCCGCGGUAAUACAGAGGUCUCAAGCGUUGUUCGGAAUCACUGGGCGUAAAGCGUGCGUAGGCGGUUUCGUAAGUCGUGUGUGAAAGGCGGGGGCUCAACCCCCGGACUGCACAUGAUACUGCGAGACUAGAGUAAUGGAGGGGGAACCGGAAUUCUCGGUGUAGCAGUGAAAUGCGUAGAUAUCGAGAGGAACACUCGUGGCGAAGGCGGGUUCCUGGACAUUAACUGACGCUGAGGCACGAAGGCCAGGGGAGCGAAAGGG